UUAUCUUUGUUUAGCAUAUUCCAAACAGCGGUGACAACAAACGUUUGAAAAAAAUUGGUGUCUGAUGAUUAUUCAUCUUUUAUAUACUAGGUUAUGUGAAAUAUCCGUCACUGUCAAUCAAAAAUAAUGGUUUGUCAACUUGUUCUUGAAAGUAAUUUCGAAAAGUGUUAGAUAAUGCACUAUAAAUAUAAAGAUAAUUUUAAAUAUAUUGGCUUUUUUUCAACUGGAAAAGGAACAAGUCCGAAACGGAAUUGCACUUCAAAUUGAGAAUGUGAUACAGCGAGCCGCAGAUGCAACAAAAUUGAGCACAACAACGAUCGCAAAUAUAAAGAAGAAUGGGAUAAAAUCAGAUCAGGAUUACGCAGCCCGUAUAUCUUGCAAGCAAAAGACAGCAAAAACCAAAAUUACAACAUAUUUGAAACAUAGAAUUCGGGACACAAUUUAUUCUAUGUACGCCAGAAAAGAAUAUGUAAUAUUGGCAACAAUAUUACAUAUUCUUGCAAAGAGAAAAGUUCAGGGAAGAAAUUGAAUAUUUUGAGUUUUCCAUUAACUCCUUAAGAAGAUGGAUCAAUAGUAUAGGCUUCAAGUGGAAAAAAUCAAAGAACAGAAAAUAUUUGAUGGACUUGCCAAAUAUUGUUAAUAAAAGAAUCAAUUUUUUAAGGGAGUAUAUCAAAAAUAGAAAUGUAGGUCCGGAAGGUUUUACUCCAGUUUUCAUUGACGAGACGUGGAUUUUUAGCAAGGGAUCAUUUCUUAGUAGCUGGCAAGAUGACAUUAAGCACACGGAUUCAAGGAAAAACAGUGAAGGUCAUCGUUAUAUCAUGGUCCACGCCGGAACCAAAGAUAGCUUCAUCAAGGGUGCAAAUUUAAUAUUCAAGAGUGGAUUAAAGACGGGAGAUUAUCAUGACAAUAUGAACAGGAAACACUUCGAAAACUGGUUUAAAAUUCAGCUGGUUCCAAAUCUUCCCCCAAAGUCAUUUAUAAUCAUGGACAAUGCAAGUUACCAUUCUGGUUUAUUAGAAGAAAUCCCGAGAAAAUCUUGGACAAAGCAGAGACUGACCGAAUGGUUCAAGAAAAAGAAUAUUGGCUUUCCAGAAAAAGCCAUGAAAGAUAAAAUAUGGAGUAUUGCACGCAGAAACUGCUCUAGUGAGAAAAAGUACUUCCUUGAUGAAUAUGUUAAACCUUUAGGACACAAAAUUUUGCGACUGCCACCAUAUCAUUGCCAGUUUAAUGCAAUUGAAAUGGUAUGGUAACGAAAAUAUGAUCAAUAUAUUUCCAAUUUUAAGGGGUCACCAUCAGAAGUUCUGACUACUUGGGAAAGGGUAAUAAACGAAAUUUCUAUAGAUCAUUGGCAAAAAUAUGUUUUUCAUACAGAAAAGAUAACUGAAAAGGCUUGGGAGGCAAUACAAGUGUGUGAUGCCUAUGACAUUCUGCCACUUGUGAUUACGACUGACGAAGACGACGAUGACGAAGACAAUAUCUCUGAUUUUAGUUCUGACUCUGACAAUACUGACGAGAUUGAUUAAGCCUUUUUUGUUCUAGCAAAUUUUAUUUUAUGAUCGUCGUUUAACUAUUCAAUCAUAUCGUUGCAAUUUCAUUAACUUGUUAAUGCAAUAUGGCGUGUUUUUUUUGAGUUUGUAUGUUUUAUUUUUUGGAAUGGUAUUUUCAUUUUAAUGUGUUAACAUAUUCCUUUAAGCAGCAUUUUUUUUCAUGAACAAGUAAAUUAAAUUGUCAGUAUUUAAAUUUUUUCCAGUGAGUUAAAAUAAUGUUAUACCAUUAUUCACAAUUUUUGUAAGCUCGGUUUUGUUACGUCUACUGCUCGUGCCGAAUUCUACUUUUCAAAUAUGUUGUAGAUUUGGUUUUUGCGGUCUUUUGCUUGGAAAAUAUAUGAGCAGCAUAAUCCUGAUCUGAUUUUAUCCCAUUCUUCUUUAUAAUUGUGCUCGUUGUUGUGCUCAAUUUUGUUGCAUCUGCGGCUCGCUCUAUCACAUUCUCAAUUUGAAGUGCAAUUCCGUUUCGGAUUUGUUGUUUAUGUUCCAUUAUUUAUGAUUAAUUAUAAUAAUAUUUGUUAAUUGUUAAGUUUGUUAAUAAUACAAUAAAUACUACAAGAUUUUUAAAAAUUUUUUGGGAAUGAAAGUAUAUACACGAAUAUAAAAAUACAUAGCAGACUAUUAAUUUCUGAAGGCGAUGGUAAAAUUUCUAACCUAAUAUUGAUUGGCAAAAAUAUCUACGUCAUACAUUUUUUCUCACCUGGAUGACGUAACAACAAAUGGGUAUAAUUUCGACUUUAAAUCAUUUUGUUGAAAAUUACCUUGACCCCCAGAUAAAACACCUUGAAGUAUUUUGCGACUCGUGUGGGGGUCAAAAUAAAAACUAUAACAUGAUCAAAUACAUGCAUUAUAUUGUUCAUAUCAAAAAAAGACCGGAGUCUUUCAAAAUAACUUUUCCAAUUAGGGGGCACUCUUAUUUAGAGUGCGACCGAAACAUGGCCCUUCUGAACCAAAAACACCUGCUGACACCAUGCUGAGCUGCCGAGCCACUGGGUCGAAGAAGUUAGGGUCCAAAGUUAAGCCAGCACCAUUUCAUGUCGAAAACCUGGAAGAGGGCCACAAUAUAAUAAGAAACUGGGAUUUUUUUUUGUGAAGCUGAAUUAUAAGAAAAAUUGUCCGUUCGCAAUACGCCCUGUGAGGGAAAUGGAAGUCACAAUUAGGCACCCCCGACUUGUUUCACAUAGAUGUUCCUAUAAUGGGUGUUGGGAACAGAGCUCAGUACUACCACCUAUACAGACAAGAAUUUAUCCUGUAUUGCGAAAUGAUGAAUUUUUAUAUCCUGACCGAAAGUAUGAAAAACUUACUCAUAGAAUACGAUUUUCAAGUCUAAUCCCAAUAAGCGAGGAAAAAUUUAAAGAUUUGCAAGCUGUGAAAGUGUUCUGUUUUCAAGAAGCGCAAAACUAUUAUGAUGAGUUACCUCAUGCCGCUAAAAACAAAAAGAAAAAGCAGCAAUAAAGCUACGGAGGUCUUAAAUCAAUAUGGAACAAAUACUACAACUAUGAUAGAUGAAACCUCGAAAUAUUAGACAUUACCCCUUUUUACUUUGGAAAUUGAUUUUUUUUGGACACUUCUCAUUUUUGCUAUUUGACAUAUCUCAACCAUUUCAUUUUGAAGUCAAAGGAUCUUAGUUCCAAACUCUAAAAUCGAUAUAUCUCAGUAUUUUUAUUUUGUGACAUGCCCUCUUUUUCCCCUGUGGUCUUCAAAUAUACCAAUAGUUUUAAUUCAAAAACUGUAUUUUUGAACCUAGAUAAUUAAAAGUUAACUAAAAGCAAAAAAAAUACUUAAAUUUCAUUAAAACUUAUCGACUUAAUUAAAACCAAAUUUCCACUUAUUUGCGAUAAAAUUGGCACAUUCUGCACUUUUCAUAGCGAUACGCCUUACUUUCGAGAAAUAAAAUAGUUUUUUUUUUUACAUUUUAC